rnacentral:rRNA from 1 species
UGGGGAAUAUUGCACAAUGGGCGCAAGCCUGAUGCAGCCAUGCCGCGUGUGUGAAGAAGGCCUUCGGGUUGUAAAGCACUUUCAGCGAGGAGGAAGGUGGUGAACUUAAUACGUUCAUCAAUUGACGUUACUCGCAGAAGAAGCACCGGCUAACUCCGUGCCAGCAGCCGCGGUAAUACGGAGGGUGCAAGCGUUAAUCGGAAUUACUGGGCGUAAAGCGCACGCAGGCGGUUUGUUAAGUCAGAUGUGAAAUCCCCGGGCUCAACCUGGGAACUGCAUUUGAAACUGGCAAGCUAGAGUCUCGUAGAGGGGGGCUAGAAUUCCAGGUGUAGCGGUGAAAUGCGUAGAGAUCUGGAGGAAUACCGGUGGCGAAGGCGGCCCCCUGGACGAAGACUGACGCUCAGGUGCGAAAGCGUGGGGCAGCAAACAGGAUUAGAUACCCUGGUAGUCCACGCUGUAAACGAUGUCGAUUUUGGAGGUUGUGCCCUUGAGGCGUGGCUUCCGGAGCUAACGCGUUAAAUCGACCGCCUGGGGAGUACGGCCGCAAGGUUAAAA